rnacentral:rRNA from 1 species
UACGUAGGGUGCAAGCGUUAUCCGGAAUUAUUGGGCGUAAAGAGCUCGUAGGCGGUUUGUCGCGUCUGCUGUGAAAACCCGAGGCUCAACCUCGGGCCUGCAGUGGGUACGGGCAGACUAGAGUGCGGUAGGGGAGAAUGGAAUUCCUGGUGUAGCGGUGGAAUGCGUAGAGAUCCGGAGGAACACCAGUGGCGAAGGCGACACGCUGGGCCGUACCUGACGCUAAAGCGCGACAGCAUGGGGAGCGAACGGG